rnacentral:rRNA from 1 species
CACGUAGGGGACGAGCGUUGUCCGGAUUCAUUGGGCGUAAAGCGCGCGUAGGCGGCUCGGAAAGUCGGUCGUGAAAUGCCGGGGCUCAACCCCGGGACUGCGUCCGAUACUCCCGAGCUGGAGGCAGGUAGGGGAGAUCGGAAUUCCUGGUGUAGCGGUGAAAUGCGCAGAUAUCAGGAGGAACACCAAUAGCGAAGGUAGCUCGCUGGGACGGUAUUGACGCUGAGGCGCGAAAGCGUGGGGAGCAAACAGG